GUAGAAACAGAGCAGGGGACGAUGUGACGUGUGUUUUGGAAUGUUUUCGGGACGGUAGCGUCACGUGUAAAACGUAUAAAACGUAUAAAGUAGCAGGUGAAUAAAUGUUCGGUCGCUGUAAGGAAGCUGCUUCCCGCUAAGUGACUCCUAGUGUCUAAGCUGUGAUUGGUGGAUCGCCAUGUCAAUCAUCUGCAGAGCUUUAUCUGUCACCCGCUCCUCCGAUUCCCAUGGCAAUGGUGAGCUGAGCGGGAAAUCCCAGUCACUAUCAGCCCUGAGGCGACUUCGAAAGUCUUUUAUUUUUAACAUAAAAUGUACCAGCAGUUGAAAAGAAAGCCAAUAAUGAGGUAUGAAAUGUGAAAAUGCCCGUAUUAAUUUUAAUAAUCCGGGUACAUAUUUUAAAAAGUAAACUACUCGGGUUAAUCAGGUCAGUGUGUGCUGAGGGACGCGGAGGCUAGUUUAGGUAGCUAAGUUAGCUAACCGUCUGUUAGCUUAGCUGGUGAUGGAAAGUCUUCUUUCAGCUCUUCUGUCUUUCAUGAGCAGGUUAGUAACACAUUUAUUCACACACAUAAGAAUCUGUUAACGACAGAACUGUGGACUAUGUAUAAACCAUGUAUAAACACUUCAUGUACUGCACACAUCCACAGAAACACAACAUUAAUCACUUGAAAUCUUUUUAUUUAUUUUUAUUACUGCACUUAAGCCUCUUUUUUCACUGCUUCACAACAUUGCCUGAGGAAAAUGAAAUGGAAAAAAGAAUCUUGUAAACAAUAAAUAAAUAAACAGUAAAAAAAAAAAAAGCAUUCCAUUAUAAAAAUGCAAAAAAAAUAAAAUAAAAAAUAACUGGUUAAAGGAAGAAUCCAUUAAAUCCAUGUACAGGAUCUGAAUAUGAACACGCUAAUACAGCAACACAGUAAAAAAACAAACAAACAAAAAAAAAAACCUAAAACUCCACAGCAAUAUGUAAACAAAUGAAAACUGCUGUUCCAGGGGUCCAAGCACUUUGGCCAGCAGGUGGAAAUGUCCUGAAUGUCAGUGUCAAUGAGAUGUGACGGGCAACUGGCUUUUUUUUUUUUUUUUACCCCACAAAAUAUUGAACAACUUGGAAACGACCUGUGGCCAUUUGGGGGAAAAUUGAUGGAACAAUUUUGGUGGAAAAAAUGCAAAUUGUCAAGGAUCAACUCGGCUCAAACAUCUGUCACUUAUUAAAUUUAACUGUACAGUGCAUAUUAGUAGAGGAAACAAAAUUACAACUCCUAAAACACACACACACACACACACACACACACACACACACACAGAGCCUCGUCACCUUGUCACUUUUGCUUGGACCCCCUUUAAAUCUAGGAGAUAAAUAAAGUGCAUCUUUACAGUGGUUUUUAAUCCAUAACAACAAAGUGGAAAACAAUGCACGCCUACAUGAAUCUAGACCCAGAGACAUUCAAACCGUUCUCUCUCUCUCACACACACAUAUACACACACAGAACAUCAUCUACGACAGGAGUUCAUUACCACAGAGCAGAGCAGAACACGCAGUACCUUAGCAACACCUCUUGGAAGUUACAGCUCUGACACGUGGAACAAGCCGUUAACAUCGCAGUGGUUUUUCCUCAACUGUUAUGGAUAGGAUUCUAAUGUGCGUUGGAUAAAAACAUCUGCCAAAAAUAUAAAUGUAAAAUAUUAAAGGGACCAUUUGUAACUUUUCGAGCACUCUGAUGUUUGUGAAUAUAAUCACCAACGAGCUUUAUCUGCUGAACCUACAGUAGUGUGACUUUUUUGGAAAAGAGGAGGAGCUGAGCAGGUCUGUUCUACCUGGAGGGUGGGACUGAUUUCAGGGCCAGAAAAAUGUGAACAGAAGUCUAGUGAACUCCAUUGUGCCUCAGUUGGUCUCACAUGUUUUGCAGGAUUAAAUGAUUAAAAGCUUUGUCCAUAAGGGGGCAGGUUAGAGCCGAACUAUACCUCCGGAGCACUUAAGCACAUCGUAAUCGUGUCGUUGCAUUUUGCACAAGACUGCACUGUAAAACAACCACAAACGUGACAGCACAACGUGACAUGGAAACACACUUCAUCUAGUGACACGAUGGAUUCCGGAUUUCAACUAAGAUGCAGGGCGAUACUCAGUCCCCAGAGAGCCAAAAUAUGUGUCGUCAAGGAAAUGGAUCAGUAGCAAGCUGGGAAUGUAGGACCAAUCAGGUGUUUACGAGUAGAGAUGAUUGACAGGUUCUGCCACCUAUCAGUGUCGAGAGCAUUUGAUAUGACAUCACAGACAUGCUGUUGCUAUAGAGACCGGGCAGUUAUGACAAUCGGAUGUGUACUAUGUUCACUAGCAUCAGGUCUUUGCGUAGUAUUAGUAUUAUUAUUUUUUUUUUACAUAUCAUAUUCUCUGUUAAUUUCUUUUCUAUUCACAAUAUCUAACAUGCAGCUACACAGACACAGCGCUUUUUAUGCUGUACACUAAUCUGGUGUUACAUUUACAUUAAAGCUGCAGUAUAUAACUUCUUUUUAAUAAAGAUAAUUGCAAUAUUGUGAUACUUUGUAGCUAAAUUUGCUAUUCAGCUAACAUUUGUCAAACUGACGUCACAUGAUCAAAUGUGCGACUAACUGACUAAAUCUACCUUAACCCUUAUUGAACUUGGCAAAAUCCAGACAUUGCCCUGAAAAGCCUAAAACAGUAAAUGAGUUAUUCUGACUCAAAGGUCAAAGGUCAUCAAGGCUUGACACCACGACCCUGGGCAUUACUUUGAUAUUAAUUGAAUGUAAACAGACAUGUUACUUGCUACUACCAAGGUUACAAAAUGUUUUUCUGUGAAUCCUUAAAAGUUACAUACUGCAUCUUUAAAAACCGUCUAGACACACACGCAUCUAACAACAACAGACUGAGAGCACCUUUUUUGUAUUGGAUAAGUGUUGAUUUGGUGGUUGUGGAAGAAUUGGGUCAUCGCUUAAGUAUCUCUUACUUCACAUCUCUCUCCAAACAUCACAAGCAGGAAGUUCAGGAAUGCUUGUUAGAGCUCUUCGAUUUGGAGGAUCCUGGUCCAGGCCACGUUCCCGUAGCUAUGCGCCAGGCCCCAGAUGAUGCCUCGGAUUUGCCCAACGUCCCAGCCCGCUUGUCCUCGCUCAUUUUGGUGCUCGAGUCCUUCCCUUUCCCCCCGUCCUGUGAUCCCAACUUCAUGGGCCCGAGCACGGUUUUGGCCACGCUGGUGAGCUGAGUGACGAAGCUCGAGCGGUCACCGGGGGAGAUUGUGCGGGAUUUUCCAGUGCUGGGAGAUGGAGUGGAAGGAGACGGGGAAGCCGGGCUUUCCUCCAAAACCUCCAAGUGAGAGCGCUCGUCUCGGAGGGUUCGGAUCGAACCGGAAUGGACCGAAUUCUUCUCCUCUUUGGAUUUCAUUUGGAGUACACCUGCGUCCGUCACUGGAGGUGCUGGAGCUUUAGCCUUGCACUUGCCACCUCCGCUCCCGACUUCCACUCUGACCUCUACUGUUUGGGGGGUUUUCACACACUUGCCCAAUUCCACGAGCCCAGAUUUAGUUUUCGAGUCAUUCUCCCAUGCUGCUUUUCCUUUUUCUCGCUCUUUUCCACCCUCAGCCUGCCAGUCUGGUGUUUUUGGCACAACAGUGUCUAUGCUCAGUAAUGGCAUCUUUCCUCCAGGUUUUUCUUUCACAUCGGAGGUUGAAGCCUGCAUAGCCGGGCUCUUUGACGCAAAUUUGUCUUGCUUUGCCGUAGUUAUGGCUUUGACGGAAUCGUGCGUUUGAGAAGAACUUGUUGUUCCUGUUACUUCAGACGGUUUGUCCUUCUUGCUUAGUGUCGAGUCAGGAACGGGAGGCGAGUCCUGCUUGUUUGUCAUCUGGAGCGUGUCUGAGAGUGUGUUCUCACCUUCGAUCUCCAGCAGGCUUUGCAGCAUGCGGUAUUCCUCCACGCCAUGUUUCCUCAGGCCACCUUUUUUCUCCGCUGUCGAUGGAAAGGAGGCAAACAAUGGGGGAGAGGGCGGAGCUGGCUUCUCGGUCGACUGCACCCGUGUGAGGAGAGGUGAGCGGGGCCGUGUUAUUGGCGGCGAGGAGUGCAGCUUGGCGGGGAAAGCGGGUGUGGCACUGGGUGUGCUCGGUGAGGGAGUGUGUGCCAGUGGGGAGAGAGGGACGCUCCCGGCUGAUUUACAGCGAGACGAGCGGAACUGCCGCUGCAGUUUAGGGGACAGGCCGUGCAGAGAGCUUGGGCGCAUGUGAUGAGACGUAGCUGGAGAGUUCGGAGUGGAGGACGCCGGGGAGCUGCUCUGGGACGACAUGCCUGAGGAAAGAGAGACACACAGAGAGAGACAGGGGAGAGGGGGAGGAGAAAGAGAGAGGGUCUGGUUAAGGACUGGGUUUCAGUCUUCCAGGUCAUUUUGAACAUCUAGCAGUCCAGUAGUAGUACACUAGAUUAUAGUAGGAGUCACUGACCGAGGUGGGCGGAGUCAGGGGGUGAGCGGGCAUACAGGCCAUGAGUGGGAGAGCCUGGAAGACUGUCACCGGACGACAGCGAGCGAUUCAGAGAUGAAAGACUGCGGCUGGUGUGGAGCAGGUUCGACUGCUUAGUGAUCUUACGGAGCAAACAGCUUCGCUUCUUGCUGUACGAGAGAGAGAGAUAGGGGAUUAGGAUGGGAAAGAGAAAAAAAGAAGGGUGCAUGUCACCUGUCCUGUCCCUCCUUGGUGAUGGAUUUCCUGUUGCGUCGUGCCAUCUUGGCCCUGGAGCUGGGCUUUCGCGCCGGUCCGAUCUUAAUGGACGUGUUCUCGAACGGAGUCGUGGUCACGGUCACUUUAUUCCCACUCUGAGCACAAAACAGAGUGUUCUUAAAAUGACUGCUCUAUACAAAUCAUUCAGAAACAUGAUGAAGCAGAUGUCCCUUUCAGGCCCUUGUACCUUCAGAAUCAGCUCCACCACUUCUGUAUGAACCAGCCCGUGCACAGACUCUCCGUUCACGUGUGUGAUGAGGUCACCGGCACACAGACCUGCUUCCUGGGCGGGGCCUCCACACUCCACGUGCUGUGAUCGGAUGGUAGAAACAGUAAAUGAAUCGAACUUAUUUAAGAGGCAACGCAAGGUGUGUUGGUGUUUCAGUGUGUGUGAGGCUCUCUUACCCAGACCAUGUGGUGGACACUGUAGACGUUGGUGUCCCCCAUGUAGACUCGGAUGGCGCGCAGCGUGAAGCCGUACCUCUUCCCCGAGCGCUGGAUGGUGAUGGGAGAGCGCAGAGUGCUGACGGAUGGAGAGUAGUCCCGGCUGGGGGACGAGUCGCGGGACGACGGGUUGGAUGAUAUGGAGCGGGGAGACAUGGGGCUGGCCAAUGGGGACGUCCCAUGCUGCUCCACUGCAGAAAACAAAAAGCUUAAAUCACAUAAAUAUAACAGAAGUAAGUACAUAAAUAAGAAUAUAUAGAGAAAUAAAUAUAAAUAGGGAAAGGCAGAAAUAUAAAUGAAAUAAGGAAGUAAAGAAAGAUACAGAUAUAAAAUAAACAUGAAAAAUAGUAAAGACAGAACAAAGAAAGAAAAAAUAGGAAAAAUAAAAAUAAAUAAAGAAACACAUAUUAAAGAAGGAAAUAAUGAAGAAGACAAGGUAAUAGUGGUGAAAUGGUGUGUAGUAAUGAGUGGUUAGCGCCCCCUGCUGGUACCUGCGGGUAUAAUGACGGAUAAGGCUGAGGCAGAGGCUGACUUUAUGACCUUGGUGCCCGAGCGAGUCUGAGUGUGUUUCUCUCCAUCAGUAGAGAGGUGUUGAUGUCGCGCUCGCCGCAGAACCACGUCACUCGGGGCCCUGGGUCCAAACGGUGCUGACGUCACAGCUGCGUCUGCAGGCUUCAGGAGUUUAUCUGUAGAAACGUUCAGGUGUACAGAAGGAAGGGGAAACUGCUCUGUGCGAAGCACCACCCAGUGUGUACAUCAUGCUUGUUUAUUGUUUCCAUGGCGAUACUGACAUUUUGAUUAAAACCACUGGGAAGCUUCACACACCUAAUCCAUGUGCCGCCGGUGCCGCAGUGGAGGAUUCGGCGGCGCCCACACCUGAGCCAGAUGCCAUCGUUGCGCCCUCUAGCGACGUCCCUCUGGUUUUGACCGGCGCGUGGCGAAUGUGUGUGUCCGUGUCCGUCUCUAGAGGAGAAGAGACGCGGUGUGUGUCCAUGAGAGCAGAAAAACGGCGGCGGACACCAGGGGGACUGGAGUCGGACUCGGUGAAGGAGUACUCUGAGCAGGACAGGCGCUUCCUACACACACACAGCACGCAAUGCCCUCAGUCACCAAGAGAAUGAUUAUGAUGGAUCAUUUGCAUGUAUUUUAAACGCUCCACUCACAUCUCAGGAGAGCCAGUCCUCCAUGUUUUGUCUCUCAGAGUGAAGCUGCCCAGGCUCUCCCUCUUUGCCCGGUCCUCCCGAUGACCUCUCGGCUCCCGGCGGGUCACCACAGGCUUGUGAUCCAGCUGGGAUAGGUGCUCCAUGCUGCUGUACACCUACACACACACACACACACACACACACACACAAGGCUGAGUGUGAAUAAACACUACACGUAAUCCUUAUCAACUUAUAAUAUAGAAAUUAGUAAGUAGAACAAGUCUUAUGGUCAUAGACAGGAAGCGAAGGAAGGAAGAGUGUGAGGGAGGAGACGGAGGAAGAGAUAGACAAUUAGAAGUACAGAUAGAACGAUGAAAAGGAGGUGUAACCUUGCUGAAGCGAGGGGAGCAGGAGGAGAAACGAUGGAUCUCGACGGGCUCGUCGUCGUUGGUGUCGUCUUCAUCAAACGAGUGAAUGUGAUGCGACAGGUGUCGAAGGGUGAGGUAUAUUUACUGUAUUAGGCAGUAAGUGAACGGUCAGUGUUGGAAGCGGGAAAAAUGGGCAAGCGUAAGGAACUGAGAGACUUUAACAAGGGCCAAAUUGUGACGGUUAGACGACUGGGUCAGAGCUUCUCCAAAAUGGCAGGUCUUGUGAGGUGUUCCUGGUAUUCCUGGUUAGAACUUACCAAAAGUGCUCCAAGGAAGGACAAUCAGUGAACUGGCGACAGGGUCAUGGGCACCAAAGACUCAUUGAUACACGUGGGGAGUGAAGGCUAGCACGUCUGGUCCGAUCCCACAGAAGAGCUACUGUAGUACAAAUUGUUGAAAAAGUUAAUGCUGGCUCUGAUAGACAGGAGACAGAAGACAGAGCAUCACAGCUUACUGGGUAUGGAGCUGCAUAGCUGCAGACCGAUCAGAGUGCCCAUGCUGACCCCUGUCCACCGCCAAAAGCACAUACAAUGGGCAUGUGGGCAUCAGAACUGGACCAUGGAGCAAUGGAAGAAGGUGGCCUGGUCUGAUGAAUCAUGUUUUUACGUGGACAGCCAUGUGCAUACCACCUACCUAAGCACUGUUGCAGACCAAGUACACGCCUUCAUGGCAAUGCUAUUCCCUAAUAGCAGUGGCCUCUUUCAGUAGGAUAAUGCCCCUGACACACUGCAAAAAGCGUUCAGGAACGAUUUGAGGAACAUGACAAAGAGUUCACGAUGUUGACUCGGCCUCCAAAAUUCCCCAGAUCUCAGUCCGAUCGAGCGUCUGUGGGAUGUUCUGGACAAACAAGUCCGAUCCAUGGAGGCCCCACCUCACGAUUUAAAGGAUCUGCUGUCAACGUCUUGGUGCCAGAAACCACAGCACACAUUCAGUAGGUCUUGUGUAGUCCAUGCCUUGAUGGCUCAGAGCUGUUUUGGUGGCACAAGGGGACUUACACAAUAUUAGGCAGGUGGUUUUAAUGUUAUGGCUGAUCGAUGCGUAUAGUAAAUAGGAAGCCAUGUGGGAUUUGACCUUAAAAAAUAAAUGACUGUGGGUGAAUAAAUACCAUUUGUGGUUUAUGUGAAAUGAACUUAAAUGUACACACAUACUGACCUUUUAAAUAAAUAACACACACACACAUGGUCAGUGUACUCACUGUCGAAGUAGCUGGUGUCC